CGGAGGGUGCAAGCGUUGUCCGGAUUUAUUGGGUUUAAAGGGUGCGUAGGCGGCUUUUUAAGUCAGUGGUGAAAUCCUUCAGCUUAACUGGAGAAUUGCCAUUGAUACUGGAAAGCUUGAGUACAGACGAGGUAGGCGGAAUUUAUGGUGUAGCGGUGAAAUGCUUAGAUACCAUAAAGAACACCGAUUGCGAAGGCAGCUUACUAGGCUGUAACUGACGCUGAGGCACGAAAGUGUGGGGAUCAAACAGGAUUAGAUACCCUGGUAGUCCACACUGUAAACGAUGAUUACUCGAUGUGUGCGAUAGACAGUACGCGUCCAAGCGAAAGCGUUAAGUAAUCCACCUGGGGAGUACGAUCGCAAGAUUG
rnacentral:rRNA from 1 species